CAAUAGCGUAUAUUAAAGUUGUUGCGGUUAAAAAGCUCGUAGUUGGAUUUCUGCUUGGGACGACCGGUCCGCCCUCUGGGUGAGAAUCUGGCUUGGCCCGGGCAUCUUCCUGAGGAACGUUGCUGCACUUGAGUGUGUGGCGCGGAACUCAGGACCUUCACUUUGAGGAAAUUAGAGUGUUUCACGCAGGCUUUUGUCCCUGAAUACGCUAGCAUGGAAUGAUAAGAUAGGACCUCGUCCCUACCUUGUUGGUUCGUAGAGAUGAGGUAAUGAUUAAUAGGGAUAGUCGGGGGCGGAUUCGUUACUUAACUUAGUCAGAGGUGGAAAUUACUUUGGUAGUUUGUUUAAAGUAACGGACGUAC
rnacentral:rRNA from 1 species